UGAUCCCAGAGGCAGAUUUGUCUUUGUGAAAGGAAUGUACAAUGGCACUUUGGUAACUCUAGCUAGCAUCUAUGUCCCUAAUGCAGACCAGGCCUCCUACAUACGAUCAUGUCUGACCAAGUUAGAGGCAUUUGCUGAGGGAGUAGUGGUAGUGGGCGGAGACUGGAAUAUGGUUCUUGACCAUUCAAUUGACAGCUCUUCCACCACUACAGACACCAGACGACAUCAAAGGAGGAUGUUCACUAACGUGCUACACACACACCAAUUAUCUGACUGCUGGAGGAUCAUGCACCCCCAAGGCAGAGACUACUCGUACUACUCUCAGACAGCUAAAAGCUACUCCAGAAUAGAUAUGUUCAUGAUCAGCCAUAGACACCUCCCCAUGGUCCAUGACGCAUCCAUAGGCAACAUUACGUGGUCGGAUCAUGCCCCGAUCCUCUUAACUCUCACCCUACAGGAUAGGUCCAGGCCUACUACACAGUGGCGCCUGAACGAAACCCUACUAGACGACCACAGGGUAUUAGAGGAUCUGCGGCAGACUGUAGCGACCUACUUUAAGGAGAAUAGUGGCACUGAGGUGUCAGAUCCUUGGGUGUGGGAAGCCCACAAGGGAGUCAUCAGGGGUAUACUUAUUAAGUGGGGCG